GCGGUUGAACAAAUUGAACAUCGCUGUCAUAAAAAGUAAUGAUGAAAAUAAGUUUGAGAUCGUUUAUUAGAUCGAAACUUUGGUAAAAACGUUUGCAAAGUUAUUUUUUAUUUUCUUUCAAGGUCCGUCGGGCAUGUCGGGCGUAGCUAGUAACCAAGUAGAAAGUCCGACUGCAAAAGUGGAAUGUCGCAGACCUCGGACAACCGCUAAUUUGAACCCCUGCGUCCAUAUUGGAAAGAUACGAAAAUUUCGUCUUCUAAUUCAAAAUUGCCGCCAACAGCGUGAUCAGUUGAACUUAUAUUAAUAGACUACUGACGUAGUUGACUACGUAUUGACGACAAACAAUAUUCCUACGACUUUUGCAAUUUGGGAAAUCUUAACUACUUGUCUUUAGAGAUUUACGGUGAUUAAAUAUUUCAUACAUUUGUUCUUUGAC
rnacentral:lncRNA from 1 species